rnacentral:rRNA from 1 species
CAAUAGCGUAUAUUAAAGCUGUUGCGGUUAAAAAGCUCGUAGUUGGAUUUCUGUCAAGGACAACUGGUCCGCCCUCCGGGUGAGCACAUAGUUUGGUCUUGGCAUCUUGCUGGAAACUGUUGCUGCGCUUGGUUGUGUGGUGCAGCUUUCAGCACUUUCACUUUGAGGAAAUUGGAGUGUUUCAAGCAGGCACAUGCCUUUGGACACAGUAGCAUGGAAUAAUUAGAUUGGGCUUUUGCUCCAACUUGUUGGUUCCUGGAGCUGAGGUGAGAAUCAAUGGGGAUUGUUGGGGGCAUCCGAAUUUAGCCGUCAGAGGUGAAAUUCUUGGAUCUGCUAAAGACGGACAACUGCGAAAGCGUUUGCCCAGGAUUUUUUCAUUGA